AUUGAACGCUGGCGGCAGGCCUAACACAUGCAAGUCGAGCGGUAGAGAGGUGCUUGCAUCUCUUGAGAGCGGCGGACGGGUGAGUAAUGCCUAGGAAUCUGCCCUAGUGGUGGGGGGAUAACGUUCGGAAACGGACGCUAAUACCGCAUACGUCCUACGGGAGAAAGCGGGGGAUCUUCGGACCUCGCGCCAUUAGAUGAGCCUAGGUCGGAUUAGCUAGUUGGUGAGGUAAAGGCUCACCAAGGCGACGAUCCAUAGCUGGUCUGAGAGGAUGAUCAGCCACACUGGGACUGAGACACGGCCCAGACUCCUACGGGAGCAGCAGUGGGGAAUAUUGGACAAUGGGCGAAAGCCUGAUCCAGCAAUGCCGCGUGAGUGAUGAAGGCCUUAGGGUUGUAAACUGCUUUUGUACGGAACGAACGGUGAGCGUCUAAUACAGUUUGCUAAUGACGGUACCGUAAGAAUAAGCACCGG
rnacentral:rRNA from 1 species